GUAUAAUUUUAUAGGAAACAAGUUCCUAUUGAUGACAUUCUUUAAACAUACUUUGGUGUAUAUAAAAACAUAGUCUUGGAAAUGAAAGGAAAGCCGACUUGUGCAGCACGGCGAUCCUAAAAUCCGAGUUGCCUCGAGAGGUAUCCAAGACUACAAAAUGUGCACAGGUGGAGAGAUUAAAGAUGACGGACGAGCACAUGCUUCGAAAAGCCAGCUAACAGUCACAUCAGGUUUAUUCAAUAAUGAUCCUUCCGCAGGUUCACCUACGGAAA
rnacentral:misc_RNA from 1 species